rnacentral:rRNA from 1 species
UACCGAGGUCCCAAGCGUUGUUCGGAUUCACUGGGCGUAAAGGGUGCGUAGGCGGUCGGGUAAGUCUGAUGUGAAAUCUCACAGCUUAACUGUGAAACUGCAUUGGAUACUAUCCGGCUAGAGGAAUGGAGGGGAGACUGGAAUACUUGGUGUAGCAGUGAAAUGCGUAGAUAUCAAGUGGAACACCAGUGGCGAAGGCGAGUCUCUGGACAUUUCCUGACGCUGAGGCGCGAAAGCGUGGGGAGCGAACCGG